rnacentral:rRNA from 1 species
GUUGUUCGGAAUUACUGGGCGUAAAGGGCUCGUAGGCGGCCAACUAAGUCAGACGUGAAAUCCCUCGGCUUAACCGGGGAACUGCGUCUGAUACUGGAUGGCUAGAGGUUGGGAGAGGGAUGCGGAAUUCCAGGUGUAGCGGUGAAAUGCGUAGAUAUCUGGAGGAACACCGGUGGCGAAGGCGGCAUCCUGGACCAAUUCUGACGCUGAGGAGCGAAAGCCAGGGGAGCAAACGGG